UACAGAGGCCUCGAGCGUUAGGCGGAAUCACUGGGCUUAAAGCGUGUGUAGGCGGACUUCUAAGUACCUUGUGAAAUCCCACGGCUCACCCGUGGAACUGCUCGGUAUACUGGUCGUCUUGAGCCUUCUAGGGGCGAGUGGAACAAAUGGUGGAGCGGUGAAAUGCGUAGAUAUCAAGAGGAACACCUGAGGCGAAGGCGGGUUGCUAGGCUGACACUGACGCUGAAGCGCGAAAGCUAGGGUAGCAAACGGG
rnacentral:rRNA from 1 species